AUCUCCAGAGCCUCUGUCUCCUGCCAACAGUUGGGCCGCCCUUGCCAAUCUCUGGAAUUAUAGGAUAGCCUCACUGUGCCCACAGUUUAUAAUCCCGAGCACCUUGCCACCAGCUAGGAAAACACAUGCCUAUGUGCAUACCUCUCCUGCAGCCAUGGUUAAACUUGCAUAUGUUUCGUCGGCCUUCCAUGCAUGCAGACAUCCAUCACCAGGUUCAAUGUGAUUGUUGUUUCAUGGUCGGGUUAUUUAUUGAUAGGCCUAUGUCAUCUCGAAGUAACUAUUGGUGUUGGAAUUCAGGUUAAUCUAUUUGAUAUUUUGCCAGGGCUAUUCGAUGGACAUCUCAAAUGUGUGUGAUCUGAGGGCUACUUUGCAGUAACAAAGUUAUUAGGAUUGGAGUGUAUGUUCUGUUUGAAUAGCCCGAUGUGAUCGGUGAUCCAUAUUGGAGUUCUGGGCUUCAGGCAAGGCAAAUUGCACAAGGUUAACUAAGUAAUGUGAGCCUUCCAAACUCCUAGAACCGAGAAAUGUGGGCACCAAAUGUGGACCUCAAGUUAGUUGCCAAUAUUACCAAGAUUCAGGCAGUAAUCAGUAAGAAGGAACUGACAACUUACCCCCUUGACAUGUCUCUGUGUAACAACAGCUCACAAAUUCUAUGGUUGAACCAUACAAGGCAUGUCUCCCUUUGCAUUCAGAUAUUUUUAAUGUUUAGAAGAUAUACAAAAGUUAUGAUAUUUUAUACCUAUGCUUAUGUAAUUAACAAAACAACUACAAUUUAUCUCUCCUUUAUGAUAAUUUUAAAUCUAUGUAA